rnacentral:tRNA from 1 species
UCCUUUGUGGUGCAAAUGGUUAACACACUCGGCUGCUAACCGAUAGACUGGAGAUUCAAGUCCACCCAGAGGCA